rnacentral:rRNA from 1 species
GGGCCCGCACAAGCGGUGGAGCAUGUGGUUUAAUUCGAUGAUACGCGAGGAACCUUACCAGGGCUUAAAUGUAGUGGGACAGGUCUAGAGAUAGACCCUUCUUCGGACUCAUUACAAGGUGCUGCAUGGUUGUCGUCAGCUCGUGCCGUGAGGUGUCAGGUUAAGUCCUAUAACGAGCGCAACCCCUAUCGUUAGUUGCCAGCGGGUAAUGCCGGGAACUCUAGCGAAACUGCCGGUGCAAACCGAGAGGAAGGUGGGGAUGACGUCAAAUCAUCACGGCCCUUACGUCCUGGGCUACACACGUGCUACAAUGGCCGGUACAGAGAGCAGCCACUACGCGAGUAGGAGCGAAUCUAUAAAAACCGGUCUCAGUUCGGAUUAUUGACUGAAAUUCGUCUAUAUGAAGUUGGAAUCGCUAG